rnacentral:lncRNA from 1 species
GAGAGAGAGACGCUUCUCCAGUGCGUCUGCAUCUCCCCCGCUCGCGGCUCUCUCCUCCCAGCCGCCUCGGAUAGCUGGAGGAGGAGGCAGUUAUCCAGGCGGCAGGCUCCACUUGGAGCGUUGAGCUCGUGCCGGGCUUCUGACUUCACGACCUCCUGUUACUUCUCAGCCCACUUUUACGAGGUAGGUGUGCGCUCACUCUUUCAUGCAACAAAUAUUUACCGAGGGCUUUCAGAGUGUGGGUGCUGGGCUAGACUUGGGGAUACAGUAGGGGACAGCAGCAGCCUGGAGGCUUUGUGAUAGUUGGAGAAAACGGAUGGUGAACUUAUGGGAGGUGAUGAGCAGGUGCGCUGGAG